GCCGGGGUGGUGAAAUGGUAAACACGCACGACUCAAAAUCGUGUGCCUUUGGCUUGAGGGUUCGAGUCCCUCUCCCGGCA
rnacentral:tRNA from 1 species